GAUGAACGCUGGCGGCGUGCCUAACACAUGCAAGUCGAACGAUGAAACCGCCCUCGGGCGGACAUGAAGUGGCGAACGGGUGAGUAACACGUGACCAACCUGCCCCUUGCUCCGGGACAACCUUGGGAAACCGAGGCUAAUACCGGAUACUCCUCGCCCCCCUCCUGGGGGGCCCGGGAAAGCCCAGACGGCAAGGGAUGGGGUCGCGGCCCAUUAGGUAGUAGGCGGGGUAACGGCCCACCUAGCCCGCGAUGGGUAGCCGGGUUGAGAGACCGACCGGCCACAUUGGGACUGAGAUACGGCCCAGACUCCUACGGGAGGCAGCAGUGGGGAAUUUUGCGCAAUGGGGGCAACCCUGACGCAGCAACGCCGCGUGCGGGACGACGGCCUUCGGGUUGUAAACCGCUUUCAGCAGGGAAGAAAUUCGACGG
rnacentral:rRNA from 1 species